rnacentral:rRNA from 1 species
UACGGGGGGGGCAAGCGUUGUUCGGAAUUACUGGGCGUAAAGGGCUCGUAGGCGGCCAACUAAGUCGGAUGUGAAAUCCCCAGGCUUAACCUGGGAAUUGCAUCCGAUACUGGAUGGCUUGAAUCCGGGAGAGGGAUGCGGAAUUCCAGGUGUAGCGGUGAAAUGCGUAGAGAUGUGGAGGAACACCAGUGGCGAAGGCGGCUUCCUGGACACCAACUGACGCUGAGACGCGAAAGCGUGGGGAGCAAACAGG